rnacentral:rRNA from 1 species
GAUGAACGCUCGCUGUGUGCCUAAUACAUGCAUGUUGAACGGGAUGUAGCAAUACAUUCAGUAGCGAAUGGGUGAGUAACACGUACCUAACCUACCUUUAAGACUGGGAUAACUAUUGGAAACAAUAGCUAAUACCGGAUAUAGUUAUUUAUCGCAUGAUGAGUAAUAGAAAGGAGCUUCACAGCUUCACUUAAAAAUGGGAGUGCGGAACAUUAGUUAGUUGGUAGGGUAAUGGCCUACCAAGACGAUGAUGUUUAGCCAGGCCGAGAGGCUGUACGGCCACACUGGGACUGAGAUACGGCCCAGACUCCUACGGGAGGCAGCAGUAAGGAAUUUUCCACAAUGAGCGAAAGCUUGAUGGAGCGACACAGCGUGCAGGAUGAAGUUCUUCGGAAUGUAAACUGCUGUUAUAAGGGAAGAAAAAAUAGAAUAGGAAAUGAUUUUAUCUUGACGGUACCUUAUUAGAAAGCGACGGCAAACUAUGUGCCAGCAGCUGCGGUAAUACAUAGGUCGCAAGCGUCAUCCGGAAUUAUUGGGCGUAAAGCGUCCGUAGGUUUUUUGCUAAGUCUGGAGUUAAAUGCUGAAGCUCAACUUCAGUCCGCUUUGGAUACUGGCAAAAUAGAAUUAUAAAGAGGUUAGCGGAAUUCCUAGUGAAGCGGUGGAAUGCGUAGAUAUUAGGAAGAACACCAAUAGGCGAAGGCAGCUAACUGGUUAUAUAUUGACACUAAGGGACGAAAGCGUGGGGAGCAAACAGG